rnacentral:rRNA from 1 species
UCGCCACGAGGUGCUCCGCGUCGGCGCCGUGUUCGCCUCCGGCCUCCUGCGCGCGAUCCGUUUCCUCCAGCUCAACUGGAAGGAGCUCGCCGCCGACAUCGAGGCAGGCGCGCUCAGCCCACGCGUCACCGACGUGUCCGUGCGCGAGGCGGUUGCGGGCAUCCUCCGGCCGGAUCCCGAGCUCGCCCAGUUCGUCCGGGACGAGUGCUGCAACGACGACUGGGCCGGCAUCGUCAGGCGCAUUUGGCCCCACACGUAGUAUCUCGACGUCAUCGUCACCGGCGCCAUGGCGCAGUACAUCGGGAUCCUCAAGUACUACAGCGGCGACCUGCCCAUGGCGUGCACGAUGUACGCGUCGUCGGAGUGCUACUUCGGGCUCAACCUCCGCCCGCUCUGCGACCCUUCGGAGGUGUCCUACACCAUCAUGCCCAACAUGGGGUACUUCGAGUUCCUCCCCGUGGACGAGGCGACCGGCGCGGCGUCGUGCGUGGACGCGGGCAACCUGGUGGACCUCGCCCGCGUGGAGGCCGGGCGGGAGUACGAGCUGGUGAUCACCACCUACGCCGGGCUGAACCUGUACCGCGUCAGCGACGUCCUCCGCGUGACGGGGUUCCACAACGCGGCGCCGCAGUUCCAGUUCGUCCGCCGCAAGAACGUGCUGCUCUCCAUCGAGUCCGACAAGACCGACGAGGCGGAGCUGCAGCUCGCCGUGGAGCGCGCGUCGGCGCUGCUCCGCCCGCACGGCGCGUCCGUGGCGGAGUACACCAGCCAGGCGUGCACCAAGAGCAUCCCCGGCCACUACGUGGUCUACUGGGAGCUGCUGAGCACGGGCGCCGGCGCGACGGCGGUGGACAAGGCCACGCUGGACGCCUGCUGCCUGGAGAUGGAGGAGGCGCUGAACACGGUGUACAGGCAGAGCAGGGUGGCGGACGGCUCCAUCGGGCUGCUCGAGAUCCGGGUCGUCCGGGCCGGCACGUUCGAGGAGCUCAUGGACUACGCCAUCUCCCGGGGCGCCAGCAUCAACCAGUACAAGGCGCCCCGGUGCGUGACGUUCCCGCCGAUCAUCGAGCUGCUGGACUCGCGCGUGGUGUCCAGCCACUUCAGCCCCGCGCUGCGGCACUGA